GAUGAACGCUGGCGGCGUGCCUAAUACAUGCAAGUCGAGCGAACGGACGAGAAGCUUGCUUCUCUGAUGUUAGCGGCGGACGGGUGAGUAACACGUGGAUAACCUACCUAUAAGACUGGGAUAACUUCGGGAAACCGGAGCUAAUACCGGAUAAUCUUUUGAACCGCAGGGUUCAAAAGUGAAAGACGGUCGUGCUGGCACUUAUAGAUGGAUCCGCGCUGCAUUAGCUAGUUGGUAAGGUAACGGCUUACCAAGGCAACGAGGCAUAGCCGACCGGUGAGGCGGAUCGGCCACACUGGAACUUAGCCACGGUCCAGACGCCUACGGGAGGCCGCAGUAUGGAAUCUUCCGCAAUGGGCGAAAGCCUUACGCAGCGACGCCGCGUGAGUGAUGAAGGUCUUCGGAUCGUAAAGCUCUGUUAUUGGUGAAGAACAUAUUUGUACGUAGCUGUGCACAUCUUGACGGUACCUAAUCAGAAAGCCCCGGCUAACUACGUG
rnacentral:rRNA from 1 species